CCAACUACAAAAUCUACAAGAAUCAGAAGUUCAAAACCCAUAUAUUUUAGUUUAUCUAUCUGUCUGCAAGAAUCAAAACCUAUUACCUAUAUCAAAACCCAUAUCGGCAUAUCACUUAAGAUUGUUCAAAAAAUCAAAAUCCAUAUCUUUCAGUUCCCAUCGCCCGCUGUGUUCGCAAGCUUCAGCCGCUGGCCCGCUGUCUCUCAACUCUCAAGCUUGCCCCCCUCUCUCUCUCUCUCUGCAACUGCUAACUUGAUUAGCAUUGGGCCUUAACAAUUAGCAAGAACAAGGUUCAACAAACAUGCCUCCUCAGUCAUCAGGUUUCUUUUCUGAAAGAAGGGAGUUAAUGGGAAUGGGUGGUGUCGGCAAAUAGGGUUUUCAAUGUUGGGGGCUUUCGGAUUUAGGGGAGUGAUUUUCUGGAUUUCAGUGGUCAUUAUCACGAUCUGGUUCUCAGUACAUGGGAGCAUAUCAGCGGACUUGCACUUUUGUUAUUGUUCCUUUCUACGAAGGAAUGUGUAGAGAUAGGAUGGUUGUGGCAGAUUUUGACCCCUGCCCCACGUCAAAGAAGCGCUCCUCAUUUAACAAAAAUUUGCGGGGUCUGUCUUACUAGUCAAAGGUGAGAUCCUAAGGAACCUAAAAGAUAUCGAUCUAUAUUUUCUAAGGCGUAGACAGUAAUGGGCAAAAGAAAUUCUACGAGGGAGGAGCCUACGCACUCUUAAGAUUCGGCUGGGAAAAUUAUAGAUUGUAAGUCUGGCAUUUCCUGGUGUAACGAGCAGCGUCGAUGCUGAGGUUAUCUCCAUUAGAGAGUGGCUAAGGCAAUUGCAAAGAUGCGGAAAAUACAAAAGGUGGUUAUAAUGGGAGACUGCGAUGGGGUGGUGAGGAAGUUGAAGGGACUGGAUGUAAUUAAGCUGUUCGAAUACCAUACUUAUUGGUGAGUUAGUAUAGUUUUUAUUUAUCUUUUUACUUUAUUGGUUAUAAUACUAAUAUUUGUUUUGUAUCUAUCAGCCAAAUUUCUAUAUACCUCAAGUCGAAAUUGUAUUUCGACGCCGAACAAUGUGUAUAGAGAGUCAAACCAGAUUGCAGAUUUGCUUGCAAGAUAUGGUCUCAGAUUGGAUGAGUGGUUGAAAACAUUUGAGGAUUGGCGGCGGCAGCAGGAGGGGCUUCCAUAUGGCGAGAAUGAUUAUAAGGUGCCCAAGCCUCAGAACUGGGAGGAUGAUUUCAACUAGUUAAUAGCCAACACGUUGUCCGCUCAAAAAUUACCACGGGCCGUAGUUGUCAUAUCAGAGGACAAUUCUAUUAUCUAUACUUUUUGUCUUUGUUUUCUAUGUU